ensembl:lncRNA
ACCAAAGGAAGGCAGCUAGGUAAGGGCAGCUAGGUAAAGGCCGCUAGGUGAGGUCAGCUAGGUAAGGUCAGCUAGGUAAAGGUCAGCUAGGUAAGGUCAGCUAGGUAAAGGCUGCUAGGUAAGGGCAGCUAGGUAAGGGCAGCCAGGUAAGGGCAGCUAGGUAAGGUCAGCUAGGUAGGUAAAGGUCAGCUAGGUAAAGGCCGCUAGGUAAGGGCAGCUAGGUAAGGUCAGCUAGGUAAAGGCUGCAAGGUAAGGUCAGCUAGGUAAAGGCUGCUAGGUAAGGUCAGCUAGGUAAGGUCAGCUAGGUAAAGGCAGCUAGGUAAGGGCAGCUAGGUAAGGUCAGCUAGGUAAAGGCUGCUAGGUAAGGGCAGCUAGGUAAGGUCAGCUAAGUAAGGUCAGCUAUUGACCUCUACUCAACAGUUACAGGAAGAUAUUUGAA